rnacentral:lncRNA from 1 species
CUGUUAUCCCCAUCUUACGAGUGUGAAAAGGGAGACUUGGAGAAGGUAGAUUGACCCAGCACACAUGGCUAGUUAGCAAGGGACAGCGGUGAGACUUAAAUCCAGGGUUGUCCAGCUCUAGACACCAAAGUCCUGAACACUGUGCAACACUGCUGCUGAGAAUUCUCAUGUUCCUUGACACAAAAUAACAUUACUAAGCCUUAGCCUUAAUCAAAUGAGGUGGGGGGGAAAUCUUUUGUGUAAUGCUUUAUAAACAUCUGCAGCUUGAAUCCAUAAAUGGCUUCUCAGUGAUUCAGAAUGUGGAGAGCUGCCCUUUAUGCAGCUCCACAAGGAACUCAUGGUUACACAUUUCAAACUUUGGUUGAGAGAUGUUGUUUUUCCCCUUAGGACACUCACAUGGGAGUCAAGAAGGUGGAGCAAACACAACCUCUGGUCCUAUAAGGACACCCCAAAUUCCAGAAUGGCUGAUCAUCUUGGCAUCCCUCUUGGCCUUGGCUUUGAUUCUUGCAGUUUGCAUUGCAGUCAACAGUCGAAGAA